rnacentral:rRNA from 1 species
AUUGAACGCUGGCGGCAGGCCUAACACAUGCAAGUCGAACGAGUGGCGGACGGGUGAGUAAUGUCUGGGAAACUGCCUGAUGGAGGGGGAUAACUACUGGAAACGGUAGCUAAUACCGCAUACCAUCGGAUGUGCCCAGAUGGGAUUAGCUAGUAGGUGGGGUAAAGGCUCACCUAGGCGACGAUCCGUCGCUGGUCUGAGAGGAUGACCAGCCACACUGGAACUGAGACACGGUCCAUACCCCUCCGGUGUGCAGCAGUGGGGAAUAGUGCACAAUGGGCGCAAGCCUGAUGCAGCCAUGCCGAGUGUAUGAAGAAGGCCUUCGGGGUGUAAAGUACUUUCAGCUGGGAGGAGUUACCCGCAGAAGAAGCACCGGCUAACUCCGUGCCAGCAGCCGCGGUAAUAC